rnacentral:tRNA from 1 species
UUGAGUUUUAAGUUAUAUAAACUACGAGCCUUCCAAGCUCAAAAAAAGACCCCUUAGACUCAA